UCCCAGGUGUCUUAGUGGUAAAGAAUCUCCUGCAGUGUGGGAGACGUGGGUUUGAUUCCUGGCUUGGGAA
rnacentral:tRNA from 1 species